UACGAAGGGGGCUAGCGUUGCUCGGAAUCACUGGGCGUAAAGCGUGCGCAGGCGGUGAUGUAAGACAGGUGUGAAAUCCCCGGGCUUAACCUGGGAACUGCAUUUGUGACUGCAUCGCUGGAGUGCGGCAGAGGGGGAUGGAAUUCCGCGUGUAGCAGUGAAAUGCGUAGAGAUCGGGAGGAACAUCAGUUGCGAAGGCGGCUCUCUGGACCAGCACUGACACUGAGGCACGAAAGCGUGGGGAGCAAACAGG
rnacentral:rRNA from 1 species